UGAUUUAGAAACUUCUCAAAACUAAACCACUUAUCUAAGUCAUAAGGAACCUCUCUCCAUAAGACUUGUGUAUGUAGUAAUAAGCUAACUCCUUAUUCUAUAUGAUAUUGAAAAUACAAAACCUUAUCUAGACAUAUAAUUAUAUCUAAAUUUUAUUUAUAAAUCCUAUCAUUAUCUCUUAUCUUCUUAAGAGAUUGAAUUAUCCAAUACAGGCCAGUUCGUCUAGUUUCUUCAGGAAAACAGGAUCGGGUCUUCACACUAGUAGUAUCGACUAACAUCAUUCUUAUAUUCUUAUUUUUAUUUUUUGACCAUGUAUACAUGAUUUUCUGAAGGAUAAGUUGGUUCGACAAAAAGAUCAUAAGCGAUUGGUUUCUGCAUGAGUCUCUGCCGAUUUCACUGUCAUGGAACUGCUGCAUGAGGCCUUGGAAUUUGUCUACAACGCUCCUCUCUUUCUGCCAUAACUUGACUUCCCAUAUUAGAUCCACAUGGUGGUGAGUGCACUGCGAGGUAGGGUUUUUUGGGAGGAGGAGGACCUGCACCCCAAUUAAACAAUAGAGUUAAACAUGUAGAUAUCAGUGGAGAACAGUAAAAUUAACGAAAUCUUAAGAUUUUGCUUAUUCCUAUUUAAUGGAGUAACUAAUUUUGGCCCCGAUUUUAUUUUUUGGUGAAGUUUUAAAACGUAUUUCUGUUGGUGAAUGUAUCUUUAAAAAUAUAUUCAUUUUUUAGACUAUGUUAAUAAAUACCAAUACUUAACGCGUCAAGUAAUAAUAUAGAACUUCAGCAGAACAUAUUACAUAUAAAACAAUGUUUUGAAUAUCUCUGUUUUUUCUUAAUAUUUUCCAGAGUCACAUUAAUCGAAUUGCUAUAUUUGUAUUCACUUUAGUGUAUCAUUCGUUCUAAUAAACCUAUUUANNNNNNNNNNNNNNNNNNNNNNNNNNNNNNNNNNNNNNNNNNNNNNNNNNNNNNNNNNNNNNNNNNNNNNNNNNNNNNNNNNNNNNNNNNNNNNNNNNNNUGCGCGGAUCGAAAAGUUUUUAUUGAAACCUAAAAUAAAAAAUUUAUGUCAUAAUCAAAAAUAAUUAGAUCAAGAAUUUGAUACAUACAAAAUUAAAAUAAAGUUAACCUAUGAAAGUAAUCAUUGUCUAACAUUAAAAACUUUAAAAUCAAUACUAAUAAGUGAAUGAAAUCAAUAAACACAAAUUAAAAUAAGAUUAAUAUAAAUAAUUCAUCUUUUUCUCUUUUUAUCUUUUAAUUUUUUUUCCUCUAUCAUUUCUUUUUUUUUUGUUUUUUUUUCUUCUUUAUUUUCUAUGUCUUUUUGUUUUACUUUUUAUUCUGCUGGUUUUUCUUUUUCACGUCUUCUUCUUCUUCUCCACAUCUUUUCCUUUUUCCUCUCAUACAUCUUUUGAUUUUCUUCUCUUCUAGGUUUUAUUCCCUUUCUUCUUCUUCUUCAAUGUUUUAUUAUUCUAUUUCUUUUUUUUCUUUUCCUUUUUCAUUGUUAUCGUCUUUUUCGUUAUCACCGACUUCCUAUUCUUCUGGUGUUUUUCGGCUUUUACCUCAUCUUCAUAUUCUUCUACUUUCUCCAAUUUCUCAUCUUUUAAGGUUUUCAUCCAAUUUUUUCUCUUCCCUAUCUUCUUCUUCUACUUUGUCUUCUAUUUUAUUUUUUUUCUCCUUCAACAGAUUUUUAUUCCUCUUCUUCCAAUUAUUCUUCCUCUCUCCAAAUUCUUCAUCAUAUUUUAAAGAUCUUUGUCUUAUCUGUCUUUUUUCUCCUCUCAUGGUUUAUAUUUUCCUUUUUUUAGUUUUUUCCUUAUAUUUUUGAGUUCUUUUUUAUCGUUAUUUGUUUUCAAAUUGUUCUUCUUUAUUGUCUUCAUUUUUUUUUACUUCUUAUUCAUCUGAUUUGUCUUCGUUUUUUCAUCGUAUUUACCUUUUUCAACUUUGUCUUCUUCAUCUUCUAGUUUUCUUCCAUUUUAUUAUUUUUUCUUUCACUUCCUCUACUAUCUACUGGUUUUCUUUUAUGACUUCUUCUUCUGGUUAUCUUUUUUCUUCUCCAAUUGGUCAUUUAAUUUUUUUUGUUCAUCAUCAUCGACCUAUCCGACUAUUUUUUUUAUCUUACUUAUUCACUGUAUUAUUUUUUGUUUAUAUUAUCGUUGUUUUCUUAUUCUUCUCCUUUUUCUUUAUUUUUUUAGCUUUUCUAUUCUUUGUUUUUUCCUUCUUAUCUUUCAUUGUUUUUGACUAUUUAUUCUUAUGUAUUUUUAUUCAUCUUCUUUGACUUCUUGAUUUUUUUUCAUUCGGUUUUUUCUUCGUUUUUCUGUUGAUUUUUUUUGUUUUAUUUGUCUGCCCCUUCUUCUUUGUUUUAUUUUAUUGUCUUUGUAUUCUCUAAAUUCUUAUUCUCCAACAUCUUCUACUAUUCUUCUUUUGGUUUUAUUAGCCGUUUUUAUCUUCUGCUUUUUACUUUUUCUUGAUCAUUUUUGUCCUAUCCAAAUAUUUUUUCUUUCUAAUUUUUGUUUGUCUUUUUCGCAUCUUUACUUUCUUCUUUUUUAUUUUUUUUUUAUCGUCGGAUUUUCAUCUUCUUAUACUUUAUUUUCUUCAUCUACCAUUUUUGUUCUUCUUUUUCUUUCAGUUUUCUUCUUCAACUUUGAGUUCUUCAUCUCCUUAUCAUUUUUCUUCUUCACUAUUUUGUGUUACCCAUAUUGAUCUUAUCGUUCAUGGUCUAUGACUUUUUGUUCAUUUUUUCCUCAUGUUUUUACGUUUUCGUCAACUCUAUGUUCUUCUAUAUGUUUCAAUUUAUCUUUUUUCUCUUCUUUUUCUACUUCGUUUUUCCCUUUUUUCCUUUUUCUGUUUUCUUUUUCGAUUUUUUCCUCUGCGUCCUGCUAGUGUAUUUGGCUUCUCUUACAUUAUUCCAAAAAUAAACAGAAUUCAGAAAGCCAUACUUAAAACAAACAAAAAAAACAAAAGACUUAAAACCUGUUCAUUAGACAAUGAAGAUGAUUUAUGAUAUGUUGACAUGGUUUUAAUCACGUUAAGUAAGGAAGAAUAACUGACAACACAAAACAACAACAUAUAAUCGAGGAACACUACUACUGGUACUGAAAAACGAAAAAACAAUAGAAAAAACCAAAAAUUUGAUUUAUAAAAAAUAAAGAUGGUAAACAAUACAACGAAAAGCUGACCAAUAUAGAAACCAAACCACAAUUGAGCUUAAGAUACAUUUAAAAAAGUAAUAUAUUUAUAUAUAGCUCUCAACUUAAGCUAGGAUUUCCCACAUCACAUGUAUAUUUUUUUCCAGAUAAUCUUGCUCAACAGAUAAUCCGACUGAAAUUAUCUUAAUAUUAUCAAAAUAACUAAAAGUGGCAGCAAAAUUGUUAUACAAACUACGAAAAUAAAUAAAUUAAUUAAGGAUAUUUAAAAAAGAUUUUAUUAACGAAUAAAGGGAAAUUAGUUACCUAGAUUGAAUGAGAGAUCUUAUAGCGAAAAAUUUACUUCGCAUAUAUUAUAUAUGAUAUGAUUUUAAAUGUUUUUUUUAUUAAAUUCCAAUUUUUAAAUUUUCGUUAUUUUCUAUUUUAAAUAUUUUUUGAUUAAAUUUCGAUUUUUAAUAUUUUUUAUUAAAUUUAAAUGUUUUUUUAUUAAAUUUCGAUUUUUAACAAUUUUUUAUUAAUUUACGAUUUUUAAUAUUUUAUUUAAUUUACGAUUUUUAAUAAUUUUUUAAUUAAUUUACGAUUUUUAAUAAUUUUUUUAUUAAACUUAAUUUUUUAAAAAAUAUAAGGAGGAGUAAAAGGUAAUUAGCCACCCUAAGAUUGAAGGAGAGAGUUUUAACUCAAAAUUUUACUUUGCUUAUAAUAUAUAUGAUUCGAUUUUUAAUAUUUUUUAUUAAAUUUAAAUGUUUCUUGAUUAAAUUUUGAUUUUUAACAAUUUUUUAUUAAUUUACGAUUUUUAAUAUUUUAUUUAAUUUAUGAUUUUUAAUAAUUUUUUAAUUAAUUUAUGAUUUUUAAUAAUUUUUUGUUAAAUUUAAUUUUAAAAAAUAUAAGGAGGAGUAAAAGGUAAUUAGUCACCCUAAGAUUGAAGGAGAGAGUUUUAACUCAAAAUUUUACUUUGCUUAUAAUAUAUAUGAUGAUAUUAGGUCAAAUCUUUCUUAGCUAAAAAAUCUUUAGCUAAAAAAUCUACCAGGUCAUAUUACAUAUUAAUACGAUUAAAGUAAAAAUUUAUUGGAUAAAUUAGAUAUAUUCACAUAGAUGAAUGACCUGGUAGUUGGUACAUAUAAAAAUUAUGCAUUUUGCAACGGGUGACAAUAAGUAAACGGUAUCCGUCUAACGACCUUAUUUUGAAAGUAGACAUCCAAAUUAAAAAAUCCGUCUAAACUUGUUUGAUCACAUCUUGCCUAUUCCUGUAAUUUCUAUUUAAUUUUAUUGUAAUUUGACUUAAAUAUUUCAAAAAGAUUAUAUGAUCUAAGUUGCAAAAGAUAUUUUUUCUAUUUUCUUAAUUUGGUAUGCCUCGGUUGGUUAUUUCUCUACCGAUUAGACCAAAUUCCUCUACAUAAAUUGGAUCUUAUCUAUCCAACCCAGUUUUAAAGUACAAAUGGAUUCACUUUUUUCCUCCUAAAUUUUUUUAAGCAAUACAUAUCUCAAUCCAUAUUAAUGGUUUGUGUUAGUGCAUUUACGGUGCCAGUACAUAUGUUCAAUAUAAUACUGCAUGUUAGUUGUUGAUCAACCAAAAAACAAUGUUUUUGCAUAUCUCUGUUUUUUCUUAAUAUUUUUCAGAGUCACGUAAUCGAAUUGAUAUAUUUGUAAUCACUUUAGUGUUUCAUUCGUUCUAAUAAACCUAUUAAUGGAUCCGCAUCAGUUUGCAGGUAUACAGAGAGAUGAGGCCUGGCCUAUAUAUAAGUUAAUAUUAGGUCAUAUCUUUCUUAGCUAAAAGAAUCUUUAGCUAAAGAAUUUCUAUAAAUAAUCAGUAUGCGUAAUUUUAAUGAUAAAGAUUCUCCUGAAUAAGAAGGUACUGACCUAUUAGGCGAGGGAGUCUAGCAUCCGUGACACAAACAUAAAAGGAUAUAUAAAAAAGUAUAAGAAUCAAACUUAGGAAAAGAGAAGCUUGGGUUGUUUUCUUCAUUAUCAUUGUUUCUCUCUCACAUGUCGAACAAUUUUAUGAUGUAUAUAUACUGAUAUUAUUGGAGCAAACAAA
rnacentral:lncRNA from 1 species